CACGUAGGACGCAAGCGUUAUCCGGAAUUACUGGGCGUAAAGGGCGUGUAGGCGGCACGGUAAGUCAACCGUGAAAGCUCCCGGCUAAACUGGGAGAGGUCGGAUGAGACUGCCGAGCUAGAGGGUCGUAGAGGGGUGUGGAAUUCCGGGUGUAGUGGUGAAAUGCGUAGAGAUCCGGAGGAACACCAGAGGCGAAGGCGGCACCCUGGACGACACCAGACGCUGAGACGCGACAGCACGGGGAGCGAACGGG
rnacentral:rRNA from 1 species